AUGGCGCGCUGGGACUGCCUGCUUUAUGAGCCAUCUGAGUUCUUUGUGGGAAGAACGGCAGCCAUUACUGUGGCUCCUAGUUGCCAAAGACACUAAGCGCUCAUGGGGGAAAGGGUGGCAGCUUAGUAAGUGCCUAAGACAAGUGAGCUCUUCAAGGGAGAGUGGCCAUCAUCACCCCAGCUGCCUGGCACCUAAAGAAACUGAGCUCCCUGGGAGAGAGACAACAGCCAUCACUGUUGUUCUUAGCUGUGUGGGGGACGCAUGGCAACACAUUUAAGCUUAUGUACAUGGCAUCUGAGGUUGGGGCAUAGAAAAAUACUGAGGCACUGUGUGUAUGUUAUUUGUGCAUGGGAAUGAAACUCCUUGACCCUGAAAACAGGACAGGGAGUGGAGUGUGUGGUGUGAUAAGGAAUGCUGAAAAGAGCUUCCUGAGAAUGCAGUUGGAAUUUCAUAUA